GAUGAACGCUAGCUACAGGCUUAACACAUGCAAGUCGAGGGGAAACGACAUCGAAAGCUUGCUUUUGAUGGGCGUCGACCGGCGCACGGGUGAGUAACGCGUAUCCAACCUGCCCAUCACUUGGGGAUAACCUUGCGAAAGUAAGACUAAUACCCAAUGACGUCUCUAGAAGACAUCUGAAAGAGAUUAAAGAUUUAUCGGUGAUGGAUGGGGAUGCGUCUGAUUAGCUUGUUGGCGGGGUAACGGCCCACCAAGGCGACGAUCAGUAGGGGUUCUGAGAGGAAGGUCCCCCCACAUUGGAACUGAGACACGGUCCAAAACUCCUACGGGAGGCAGCAGUGAGGAAUAUUGGUCAAUGGGCGAGAGCCUGAACCAGCCAAGUAGCGUGCAGGAUGACGGCCCUANGGGUUGUAAACUGCUUUUAUAAGGGAAUAAAGUGAGUCUCGUGAGACUUUUUGCAUGUACCUUAUGAAUAAGGACCGGCUAAUUCCGUGCCAGCAGCCG
rnacentral:rRNA from 1 species